rnacentral:rRNA from 1 species
UACGUAGGUGGCGAGCGUUGUCCGGAUUUACUGGGCGUAAAGGGCGUGCAGGCGGUUUGUUAAGUGCAGAGUGAAAGCUCCCGGCUCAACUGGGAGAGGUCUUUGCAUACUGGCAAACUCGAGGGAGGCAGAGGAAAGUGGAAUUCCCGGUGUAGUGGUGAUAUGCGUAGAUAUCGGGAGGAACACCUGUGGCGAAGGCGGCUUUCUGGGUCUUACCUGACGCUGAGACGCGAAAGCGUGGGGAGCGAACCGG